UACGUAGGGGGCAAGCGUUAUCCGGAUUUACUGGGCAUAAAGAGCGUGUAGGUGGUUUCUUAAGUCAGGUGUUAAAUUCCUCGGCUCAACCGAGGACCGCACUUGAUACUGGGAUUCUAGAGAUUAGGAGAGGAAAGCGGAACUCACAGUGUAGCGGUGAAAUGCGUAGAUAUUGUGAGGAACAUCAGUUGCGAAGGCGGCUUUCUGGCCUGAAUCUGACACUGUGGCGCGAAAGCGUGGGGAGCAAACAGG
rnacentral:rRNA from 1 species